CGUGGUGAUGUGGUUAGGGAUCUUACCGAGAGGUUUGAGAAAUUCAUUGUGGAUUCCAAAUCUUCAUUUUCGGCUGUACAUGGUGCAGAGAGAAAAGAACCAACUUCCUUGCUAUUUUCUCCUCAAAGAUUAUCAUCAUUAUUCUUUGGUGAUCCAACACAAAAUGGAAGUCAAUUUAAUUAUUUUCUUACAGCUCCAUUGCUUGUCUUCUGUCAAUUACUUGGUCAAUCUUUGCAUAUUGAUGCUGAAUGGACAAUGACAAUCAAGGUGCAGGCCUGAGGAGAAGCCAGCGCAGCAGCAAGGGGGUUCAAGGAGAACGGUUCAGGGAUUUUGUGCCGAAAUGAUGGGGAGUAUCAAUUGGAUGAUUAGCUAAUUAGUAUUAUAAUUAGUUAUAUAAUUAGAGUAAUGAAUGAAUGCCUUGUAAUGCAAGCCAUUAAGGUUGUUAGAAAGGCAUGGAUUUCUGGGUAACGUGUCCUGGCACGUGAUGUGUUUGAGAAUAUGCCUCACUGAAGAGGUUGUUACAAAAUCAUUGUAGAAAUCCCUAUAUAAGAAGGGUACAGCUAAUGAGAAAAGCAAGGAAUCUUUACUCUAAUCCCUCUUUUCUCUCUCUUCCUCUCUUCUUUUUCCUAUGCUCUUCUCCUUCUCCCCCUUCUUCCCAGCCAUUUCCUACUAAAUCACACAGAACUGGUGCGGAU